rnacentral:rRNA from 1 species
GAUGAACGCUGGCGGCGUGCCUAAUACAUGCAAGUCGAGCGAACAGAUGAGGAGCUUGCUCCUCUGACGUUAGCGGCGGACGGGUGAGUAACACGUGGAUAACCUACCUAUAAGACUGGGAUAACUACGGGAAACCGGAGCUAAUACCGGAUAAUAUAUUGAACCGCAUGGUUCAAUAGUGAAAGACGGUUUUGCUGUCACUUAUAGAUGGAUCCGCGCCGCAUUAGCUAGUUGGUAAGGUAACGGCUUACCAAGGCAACGAUGCGUAGCCGACCUGAGAGGGUGAUCGGCCACACUGGAACUGAGACACGGUCCAGACUCCUACGGGAGGCAGCAGUAGGGAAUCUUCCGCAAUGGGCGAAAGCAUGACGGAGCAACGCCGCGUGAGUGAUGAAGGUCUUCGGAUCGUAAAACUCUGUUAUCAGGGAAGAACAAAUGUGUAAGUAACUAUGCACGUCUUGACGGUACCUAAUCAGAAAGCCACGGCUAACUACGUG